UACGUAGGGUGCAAGCGUUGUCCGGAAUUAUUGGGCGUAAAGAGCUCGUAGGCGGUCUGUCGCGUCGGAUGUGAAAACCCGGGGCUUAAUCCCGGGCCUGCAUUCGAUACGGGCAGACUCGAGUGUGGUAGGGGAGACUGGAACUCCUGGUGUAGCGGUGAAAUGCGCAGAUAUCAGGAAGAACACCGGUGGCGAAGGCGGGUCUCUGGGCCACUACUGACGCUGAGGAGCGAAAGCGUGGGGAGCGAACAGG
rnacentral:rRNA from 1 species